rnacentral:rRNA from 1 species
AACGAACGCUGGCGGCAGGCUUAACACAUGCAAGUCGAACGGGUGUAGCAAUACAUCAGUGGCAGACGGGUGAGUAACACGUGGGAACCUUCCUCGUUGUACGGAACAACUCAGGGAAACUUGAGCUAAUACCGUAUACGUCCGAGAGGAGAAAGAUUUAUCGCAAUGAGACGGGCCCGCGUCGGAUUAGGUAGUUGGUGGGGUAACGGCCUACCAAGCCUACGAUCCGUAGCUGAUCUGAGAGGAUGAUCAGCCACACUGGGACUGAGACACGGCCCAGACUCCUACGGGAGGCAGCAGUGGGGAAUCUUGGACAAUGGGCGCAAGCCUGAUCCAGCCAUGCCGCGUGAGUGAAGAAGGUCUUCGGAUUGUAAAGCUCUUUUGCCAGGGACGAUAAUGACGGUACCUGGAGAAUAAGCCCCGGCAAACUUCGUGCCAGCCGCCGCAGUAAAAC